CUUCUCCACCCCUCUCCCUCGGCAAGAAAAGCCGCCGCCGCCACAUCCGCAGCAGCCGCAUCCACAGCAGCCGAGCGAGAUGGUGUUUGUGAAGAACCAGAAGACCAGGGCCUACUCCAAGCGGUUCCAAGUGAAGUUCAAGAGAAGGAGACAGGGAAGACCGAUUACAGGGCCAGGCUCAGGCUCACUAACCAUAA